UUCGCGGAGGACCGUGUGAUACACUGAGUCACAGAGGACGGGAGAAGGGGGCGGGCCGGCCUCUCCCGUCCACGUGACCCGUCAGAUGACUUGUUCUGAGUUGGCACGGGCUCAUUUACCGUAAUAAGGCUGAAGGCUUCUAAUCAGCAUCCAACGUUAGUCAUCCCCGAGUGACAUUUGAUAUGAGCAACAGCUCAAUACUAGGGCAUGACCGCGUGGAUGGCGAUGGACCUGGAGUAAAUGCUGCUCCGGCCGCCUCUGAUUUUUGUUGGGACCGGAGGAGUUUAUGCAGAGUCAAGGAAACCUACUGCGAAAAUGCCAGGGGAGACAAGUCACUCUUCCAGACAGAUUCUUAGGUUCUUCUGCACUAGGAGCAGAGAGUCCGGGAGAAACUGUUUAUAGGGUGGCUGGCAGGCAGCAGACCACGCAAGCUCCGCUUCAGCUUCUGCAGUCUAGCGUGUGGCUCUGGGACCAGCCUCGCCCUCACCUAGGCCUCCAGAACCCGAAUCUGCAUUUGAAAGAAAACCCAGCGUAGGCGCCCGAGGAGCACGUGAAUACGGAGAACACAGGUGUCCUGGCUCUGAGUGAAGAGCAUGAACAAUUUCAUCAACCCUAAAAGAAACGCUGUGGCCAUAAGCAGUCACCCUCUGUCCCUCACUCCCCCAGCCCCUGGCAGCCACGGAGCUGCUUUGUGUGAUCCGCUCUUGAGCUGAGACCUGAUGGAUGAAUAGAAGUUAACUUGUUGAGCAGUUAGGGGAAGAGGAUUUCUGGACGACAACAGUAUGGACAGCAUCCAGCAGAGGGACAAUGCACAGUCAAGGAAUUAAUGAGGGACCUGUGUUGUCAGAGUACAGAAUACAAGAGUGAGUGGCUGGAGCCAGAGUGUGCCAGGCUGGUCAUGCAGCCCACUCGAAGAUCUUGGCUUCUCCCCUAGUGCCGAGGGACCUGCAGGUCUGACACAGAACCUUCCAUCCAAUACAUGCCCCCAAAAUGUUGAGUGAGCAAACAAGUAAAUUUGGCUCCCAUACCCUUUUAAAACAUCAUAAAGGAUUGCUUUAUUUUAAAUAUUUAUAACAUAAAGCCAGACAUACAAGAGACAUACAUAUGUGUAUUCCCAUAGUCAUGGUAUAAUCUUACUGUUUGUAGAAAUCUGGUUUGGGCUUUUAUACUAAGCAAAUAGCUGAACUAAAAUUGCAGAUCAGCUGUAACUUAUCUUCUCAGGAAACAGUAACUCCAGACUUGGUGGAAUUUCUUAUUGAGGUUUGACAGAAUGGAGAAUGGAACUCAGACUAAAGAACUGGGGUAGCUGGAGAUUCAGAGCAAGUUCUUUCUCAUUAGAAUUUCUUCCUAUUACCUAAAAAAAAAUUGCUUUUAUUUGAAAUUUAAUACAUCUACUUGGUUUCCCUGGGAAGGUUUUGAGCACACCUCAUUUGAGGGGCCAUACCCAGACUAAAAGGCUCAGUCCUCCCACCUCUGACUACUCUAUUAUACUCCAUGUCCCCCAUAAGCACUUUUACAAGUUUCCCGGGUAAUCUUCCAAUGUUGUUUAUACAAAUACAUGUCAAUAUGGAUAGGCAAUCUUAUUUACCACCCCCCAC